UACGGGGGGGGGCAAGCGUUGUUCGGAAUUACUGGGCGUAAAGGGCUCGUAGGCGGCCAACUAAGUCAGACGUGAAAAUCCCCUCGGCUUAACCGGGGGAACUGCAUCUGAUACUGGAUGGCUUGAGUUCGGGAGAGGGAUGCGGAAUUCCAGGUGUAGCGGUGAAAAUGCGUAGAUAUCUGGAGGAACACCGGUGGCGAAGGCGGCAUCCUGGACCGACACUGACGCUGAGGAGCGAAAGCCAGGGGAGCAAAGCGGG
rnacentral:rRNA from 1 species